GAAUUUCCUCCCUGAAAAAUGUGAUUUUAGACGCACAUCAACUUUAGUUAAAAGCCGUGGUUAGCCAAUCAAUUUCAAGACCAAAACUCCUACUUUUUCUUUAAUGAUGCGAAAAGGGAGAUAAGACCUUAAUUAAUAACCCAAAUUAAUAUGAUCUGCAAAACAAUAUUUUCAACUUACUUAAUGAACCUGUUGUAAGCAGA
rnacentral:misc_RNA from 1 species